GUCGUAACUACAAUCCCCUUCCCUUUCAUGAAUGUGACCUACCGAAUUAGACUAUUUACCGGAUUUGUUAUCACAUAAGCAACACGACGGGUGCCGCAUGUGGAGCAGGAUCUGCUUACCCUUCCGGAGCACCUGAGAUCACCCCUAGUUUUUUGGUGGGGUUCGUGUUGUUUAUUUUUUAGUUUUCUAUGUUGUGUCGUGUGUGCUGUUGUUUGUUUGUCUUUUUCAU
rnacentral:lncRNA from 1 species